rnacentral:misc_RNA from 1 species
CAUGAAGAACGCAGCAAAAUGCGAUAAGUAAUGUGAAUUGCAGAAUUCAGUGAAUCAUCGAAUCUUUGAACGCACAUUGCGCCCGCCAGUAUUCUGGCGGGCAUGCCUGUUCGAGCGUCAUUUCAACCCUCAAGCACAGCUUGGUGUUGGGACUCGCGUUAAUUCGCGUUCCCCAAAUUGAUUGGCGGUCACGUCGAGCUUCCAUAGCGUAGUAGUAAAACCCUCGUUACUGGUAAUCGUCGCGGCCACGCCGUUAAACCCCAACUUCUGAAUGUUGACCUCGGAUCAGGUAGGAAUACCCGCUGAACUUAAGCAUAUCAAUAAGCGGAGGA